UACGUAUGGCGCAAGCGUUGUCCGGAAUUAUUGGGCGUAAAGAGCUCGUAGGCGGCUUGUCACGUCGGAUGUGAAAGCCCGGGGCUUAACUCCGGGUCUGCAUUCGAUACGGGCUAGCUAGAGUGUGGUAGGGGAGAUCGGAAUUCCUGGUGUAGCGGUGAAAUGCGCAGAUAUCAGGAGGAACACCGGUGGCGAAGGCGGAUCUCUGGGCCAUUACUGACGCUGAGGAGCGAAAGCGUGGGGAGCGAACAGG
rnacentral:rRNA from 1 species